AGUGAACGCUGGCGGUAGGCCUAACACAUGCAAGUCGAACGGCAGCACAGUAAGAGCUUGCUCUUACGGGUGGCGAGUGGCGGACGGGUGAGGAAUACAUCGGAAUCUACUUUUUCGUGGGGGAUAACGUAGGGAAACUUACGCUAAUACCGCAUACGACCUACGGGUGAAAGCAGGGGAUCUUCGGACCUUGCGCGAUUGAAUGAGCCGAUGUCGGAUUAGCUAGUUGGCGGGGUAAAGGCCCACCAAGGCGACGAUCCGUAGCUGGUCUGAGAGGAUGAUCAGCCACACUGGAACUGAGACACGGUCCAGACUCCUACGGGAGGCAGCAGUGGGGAAUAUUGGACAAAGGGCGCAAGCCUGAUCCAGCCAUACCGCGUGGGUGAAGAAGGCCUUCGGGUUGUAAAGCCCUUUUGUUGGGAAAGAAAAGCAGCAGGUUAAUACCCCGCUGUUCUGACGGUACCCAAAGAAUAAGCACCGGCUAACUUCGU
rnacentral:rRNA from 1 species